UCUUAGAGUGAGGAUGAUUAGUGAUACGCCUGUUGGGUAGGGGAGCGUUGUGUAAGCGGAAGAAGGUUCAUCGAGAGGUGGGCUGGACGUAUCACAAGUGCGAAUGCUGACAUAAGUAACGAUAAAACGGGUGAAAAACCCGUUCGCCGGAAGACCAAGGGUUCCUGUCCAACGUUAAUCGGGGCAGGGUGAGUCGGCUCCUAAGGCGAGGCUGAAAAGCGUAGUCGAUGGGAAACAGGUUAAUAUUCCUGUACUUGGUAAAGCUGCGAUGUGGGGACGGAGUAGGUUAGGUUAUCGCACUGUUGGAUAUGUGCGUUUAAGUUGGUAGGUGGGAAGUUUAGGCAAAUCCGGACUUCCUUAACACAGAGAGAUGAUGACGAGGCUCUACGGAGCUGAAGUAACUGAUACCACACUUCCAGGAAAAGCCACUAAGCGAAAGGCUUUACUAAACCGUACUGAAAACCGACACAGGUGGUCAGGUAGAGAAUACUCAGGCGCUUGAGAGAACUCGGGUGAAGGAACUAGGCAAAAUAGCACCGUAACUUCGGGAGAAGGUGCGUCGGCGUAGAUUGUAGUCCCUAGCGGGCGAAGGUUGAACCGGUCGAAGAUACCAGCUGGCUGCAACUGUUUAUUAAAAACACAGCACUCUGCAAACACGAAAGUGGACGUAUAGGGUGUGAUGCCUGCCCGGUGCUGGAAGGUUAAUUGAUGGUGUCAUCGCAAGAGAAGCACCUGAUCGAAGCCCCAGUAAACGGCGGCCGUAACUAUAACGGUCCUAAGGUAGCGAAAUUCCUUGUCGGGUAAGUUCCGACCUGCACGAAUGGCAUAAUGAUGGCCAGGCUGUCUCCACCCGAGACUCAGUGAAAUUGAAAUCGCCGUGAAGAUGCGGUGUACCCGCGGCUAGACGGAAAGACCCCGUGAACCUUUACUAUAGCUUGACACUGAACAUUGAAUUUUGAUGUGUAGGAUAGGUGGGAGACUUAGAAGUAGGAACGCCAGUUUCUAUGGAGUCAUCCUUGAAAUACCACCCUUUAACGUUUGAUGUUCUAACGAAGAUGACGAAACGUGGUCUCGGACAGUGUCUGGUGGGUAGUUUGACUGGGGCGGUCUCCUCCCAAAGCGUAACGGAGGAGCACGAAGGUUUGCUAAUCACGGUCGGACAUCGUGAGGUUAGUGCAAUGGUAUAAGCAAGCUUAACUGCGAGACAGACAAGUCGAGCAGGUACGAAAGUAGGUCAUAGUGAUCCGGUGGUUCUGAAUGGAAGGGCCAUCGCUCAACGGAUAAAAGGUACUCCGGGGAUAACAGGCUGAUACCGCCCAAGAGUUCAUAUCGACGGCGGUGUUUGGCACCUCGAUGUCGGCUCAUCACAUCCUGGGGCUGAAGUAGGUCCCAAGGGUAUGGCUGUUCGCCAUUUAAAGUGGUACGCGAGCUGGGUUUAGAACGUCGUGAGACAGUUCGGUCCCUAUCUGCCGUGGGCGUUGGAUGAUUUAUUGGGGCUGCUCCUAGUACGAGAGGACCGGAGUGGACGCA
rnacentral:rRNA from 1 species